rnacentral:rRNA from 1 species
UCCUACGGGGGGCAGCAGUGGGGAAUUUUGGACAAUGGGCGCAAGCCUGAUCCAGCAAUGCCGCGUGCAGGAAGAAGGCCUUCGGGUUGUAAACUGCUUUUGUACGGAACGAAACGGUCCUGGUUAAUACCCGGGGCUAAUGACGGUACCGUAAGAAUAAGCACCGGCUAACUACGUGCCAGCAGCCGCGGUAAUACGUAGGGUGCAAGCGUUAAUCGGAAUUACUGGGCGUAAAGCGUGCGCAGGCGGUGCUGUAAGACAGGCGUGAAAUCCCCGGGCUUAACCUGGGAAUUGCGCUUGUGACUGCAGUGCUGGAGUGCGGCAGAGGGGGAUGGAAUUCCGCGUGUAGCAGUGAAAUGCGUAGAUAUGCGGAGGAACACCGAUGGCGAAGGCAAUCCCCUGGGCCUGCACUGACGCUCAUGCACGAAAGCGUGGGGAGCAAACAGGAUUAGAUACCCUGGUAGUC